GAGCAAAAGCGUCGAAUAAUAAUAAGAUGGCGCAGUUUGCAUUGAAGGUUGGCGAUAUCAAACUCAGUAUGCGAUUCUCCGUGCCUAUCAAAUUAAUUCAGUUUUGAUUAUGGCCUCGAACAAGUCGCUACAUU